AUUACUUAAACACAUUUACAAUUCAAUAAGAAUGACUAUACACCACUUAAGGAAAAACUCAACAUUGACCAUGAGCUCAACGUUGUUGUUCCUUAACUACUCCAUAGUCAUUCUCAGAGAGGUUAAAAGGUCGAACUUGCUAAAUUCAUUGCAGAUUAAGAGCAGCAAUUUGUCCAUUAUUGAAUACAAAAUCACAAAUCAGUUACAUUUAUCUAAUGCAAAUAGAUGCUAGAUCAACUUCGUCGCCUCAAAUAGUUUAUGCAAAAAAAUCAGGGCUCCAUUUUCU